rnacentral:rRNA from 1 species
UACGUAGGGUCCGAGCGUUGUCCGGAAUUACUGGGCGUAAAGAGCUCGUAGGUGGUUUGUCGCGUUGUUCGUGAAAACUCACAGCUCAACUGUGGGCGUGCGGGCGAUACGGGCCAGACUAGAGUACUGCAGGGGAGACUGGAAUUCCCUGGUGUAGCGGUGGAAUGCGCAGAUAUCAGGAGGAACACCGGUGGCGAAGGCGGGUCUCUGGGCAGUAACUGACGCUGAGGAGCGAAAGCGUGGGGAGCGAACAGG